rnacentral:rRNA from 1 species
UGGGGAAUAUUGCACAAUGGGCGAAAGCCUGAUGCAGCAACGCCGCGUGAGUGAUGAAGGUCUUCGGAUUGUAAAGCUCUGUCUUUUGGGACGAUAAUGACGGUACCAAAGGAGGAGCCACGGCUAACUACGUGCCAGCAGCCGCGGUAAUACGUAGGUGGCGAGCGUUGUCCGGAUUUACUGGGCGUAAAGGGUGCGUAGGCGGAUGUUUAAGUGAGAUGUGAAAUACCCGGGCUUAACUUGGGUGCUGCAUUUCAAACUGGAUAUCUAGAGUGCAGGAGAGGAGAAUGGAAUUCCUAGUGUAGCGGUGAAAUGCGUAGAGAUUAGGAAGAACACCAGUGGCGAAGGCGAUUCUCUGGACUGUAACUGACGCUGAGGCACGAAAGGCGUGGGUAGCAAACAGGAUUAGAUACCCUGGUAGUCCACGCCGUAAACGAUGAGUACUAGGUGUAGGAGGUAUCGACCCCUUCUGUGCCGCAGUAAACACAUUAAGUACUCCGCCUGGGAAGUACGAUCGCAAGAUUAAAACUCUAAAGUGAAUUGAC